GGGGCUGUAGCUCAGCUGGGAGAGCGCAACACUGGCAGUGUUGAGGUCAGGAGUUCGAUCCUCCUCAGCUCCA
rnacentral:tRNA from 1 species